UCGGGAAUUUUGGGCAAUGGGCGAAAGCCUGAUCCAGCCAUGCCGCGUGAGUGACGAAGGCCUUAGGGUUGUAAAACUCUUUCGUCGGGGACGAUAAUGACGGUACCCGAAGAAGAAGCUCCGGCUAACUUCGUGCCAGCAGCCGCGGUAAUACGAAGGGGGCUAGCGUUGUUCGGAUUUACUGGGCGUAAAGCGCGUGUAGGCGGGUCGUUAAGUUGGGGGUGAAAUCCCGAGGCUCAACCUCGGAACUGCCUUCAAAACUGGCGACCUGGACUCAAGCAGAGGCAAGUGGAAUUGCGAGUGUAGAGGUGAAAUUCGUAGAUAUUCGCAGGAACACCAGUGGCGAAGGCGACUUGCUGGGCUUGUAGUGACGCUGAGACGCGAAAGCGUGGGGAGCAAACAGGAUUAGAUACCCCCGUAGUCCCUGAGCGGGCUGGCAAGGCGCAU
rnacentral:rRNA from 1 species